rnacentral:rRNA from 1 species
CAAGGUUAAAACUCAAAUGAAUUGACGGGGGCCCGCACAAGCGGUGGAGCAUGUGGUUUAAUUCGAUGCAACGCGAAGAACCUUACCAUCCCUUGACAUCCAGUGAAUAUUCCAGAGAUGGAUUAGUGCCUUCGGGAACACUGAGACAGGUGCUGCAUGGCUGUCGUCAGCUCGUGUUGUGAGAUGUUGGGUUAAGUCCCGCAACGAGCGCAACCCUUAUCCUUAGUUGCCAGCACGUAAUGGUGGGAACUCUGGGGAGACUGCCGGUGAUAAACCGGAGGAAGGUGGGGACGACGUCAAGUCAUCAUGGCCCUUACGGGAUGGGCUACACACGUGCUACAAUGGCGCGUACAAAGGGCAGCGAACCUGCGAAGGUAAGCGAAUCUCAUAAAGCGCGUCGUAGUCCGGAUUGGAGUCUGCAACUCGACUCCAUGAAGUCGGAAUCGCUAGUAAUCGUGGAUCAGAAUGCCACGGUGAAUACGUUCCCGGGCCUUGUACA